rnacentral:rRNA from 1 species
GCAAGUCGAGCGCACCUUCGGGUGAGCGGCGGACGGGUUAGUAACGCGUGGGAAUAUACCCUUCACUAAGGAAUAGCCUCGGGAAACGGAGAGUAAUACCGUAUACGCCCUUUGGGGGAAAGAUUUAUCGGUGAAGGAUUAGCCCGCGUUGGAUUAGGUAGUUGGUGGGGUAAUGGCCUACCAAGCCUACGAUCCAUAGCUGGUUUGAGAGGAUGAUC